rnacentral:rRNA from 1 species
AUCUGCAGUCGAGGGGCAGCGGGGUAGCAAUACCGCCGGCGACCGGCAAACGGGUGCGGAACACGUACGCAACCUUCCUUCAAGAGAUGGAUAGCCCGAAGAAAUUCGGAUUAAUACAUCGUAAAAUCACAGAGUGGCAUCACUUCAUGAUUAAAGAAUUUCGCUUGAAGAUGGGCGUGCGCCUGAUUAGGUAGUUGGUGAGGUAACGGCUCACCAAGCCGACGAUCAGUAACUGGCGUGAGAGCGCGACCAGUCACACGGGCACUGAGACACGGGCCCGACACCUACGGGAGGCAGCAGUAAGGAAUAUUGGUCAAUGGACGCAAGUCUGAACCAGCCAUGCCGCGUGAAGGAUAAAGGCCCUCUGGGUCGUAAACUUCUUUUAUCUGGGACGAAAUCACUUUUUUCUAAGAGUGUUGACGGUACCAGAGGAAUAAGCACCGGCUAACUCCGUGCCAGCAGCCGCGGUAAUACGGAGGGUGCAAGCGUUAUCCGGAUUCACUGGGUUUAAAGGGUGCGUAGGCGGAUUUGUAAGUCCGUGGUGAAAUCUCCAGGCUUAACCUGGAAACUGCCAUGGAUACUAUAAAUCUUGAAUGUUGUGGAGGUUAGCGGAAUAUGUCAUGUAGCGGUGAAAUGCAUAGAUAUGACAUAGAACACCAAUUGCGAAGGCAGCUGGCUACACAAAUAUUGACGCUGAGGCACGAAAGCGUGGGGAUCAAACAGGAUUAGAUACCCUGGUAGUCCACGCCCUAAACGAUGAUUACUCGACAUUUGUGAUACACAAUAAGUGUCUGAGCGAAAAGCAUUAAGUAAUCCACCUGGGAAGUACGACCGCAAGGUUGAAACUCAA